rnacentral:rRNA from 1 species
UAGGGAAUUUUGGGCAAUGGGCGAAAGCCUGACCCAGCAACGCCGCGUGAAGGAUGAAGUAUUUCGGUAUGUAAACUUCGAAAGAAUAGGAAGAAUAAAUGACGGUACUAUUUAUAAGGUCCGGCUAACUACGUGCCAGCAGCCGCGGUAAUACGUAGGGACCAAGCGUUGUUCGGAUUUACUGGGCGUAAAGGGCGCGUAGGCGGCAAUUCAAGUCAUCUGUGAAAUCUCCGGGCUUAACUCGGAACGGUCAGAUGAUACUGCUUUGCUAGAGUGCAGAAGGGGCAAUCGGAAUUCUUGGUGUAGCGGUGAAAUGCGUAGAUAUCAAGAGGAACACCUGAGGUGAAGACGGGUUGCUGGGCUGACACUGACGCUGAGGCGCGAAAGCCAGGGGAGCAAACGGGAUUAGAUACCCACGUAGUCCCUGAGCGGGCUGGCAAGGCGCAU